rnacentral:rRNA from 1 species
UCCAGACUCCUACGGGAGGCAGCAGUGAGGAAUAUUGGUCAAUGGGCGGAAGCCUGAACCAGCCAAGUCGCGUGAGGGAAGAAGGCCCUGCGGGUCGCAGACCUCUUUGGACGGGGAGCAAGGCCGCCGACGUGUCGGCGGAAGGAGAGUACCCGUAGAACAAGCAUCGGCUAACUCCGUGCCAGCAGCCGCGGUAAUACGGAGGAUGCGAGCGUUAUCCGGAUUUAUUGGGUUUAAAGGGUGCGCAGGCGGCACGGCAAGCCGGCGGUCAAAUCGCGGGGCUCAACCCCGCCCAGCCGUCGGAACUGCCGGGCUAGAGUGGGCGAGAAGUGCGCGGAAUGCGUGGUGUAGCGGUGAAAUGCUUAGAGAUCAUACAGAACACCGAUUGCGAAGGCAGCUUACCAAACUAUAUCUGACGUUGAGGCACGAAAGCGUGGGUAGCAAACAGGAUUAGAUACCCGUGUAG